CUAAUUCUUGGCUUCCAAUUCUUCUUGCAAGGGAAAAGAGGGGUUGUGACUGGCACCCACUAAGAUGUUCUAACUACGCUAGACUGGGGAGCACAGUUAGGACAGCUAUUACUUUAAGUCUGAAUUAUGGACAAUAACUUAGAAAAGUUCUGGCUGGAACUAAAKGAAGCUGGGACUGAAGGAAAAGUGCUAAAGUCCCCUUCGAGCAUCUUUCUGCAAGACACAUCAGAGAUCUGA
rnacentral:lncRNA from 1 species